UCGGUUACGCAAGGGGAAGGUAUUAGCACCCCUCACGUCCGUCGUACUCGACGGGAUCCACGUUCUAAAAGAAAGGAAAGGUUGCUAAAACAAACACACACACCGAAGACAACACAGGUGGGGUUAGGAGGAAGAGGGCUCGCUAGGACAUCGCAUCCUAUGCCUACAUAUCUCGUCUGGAACGAGAAUCAGAGCUAUUGUAGUUUGGCUCACGCACGCCAAACAACACAAACACACAAACAGGCAAAC
rnacentral:lncRNA from 1 species